rnacentral:rRNA from 1 species
UGGGGAAUAUUGCACAAUGGGCGAAAGCCUGAUGCAGCGACGCCGCGUGCGGGAUGAAAGCCUUCGGGUUGUAAACCGCUUUUGAUUGGGAGCAAGCGAGAGUGAGUGUACCUUUCGAAUAAGCACCGGCUAACUACGUGCCAGCAGCCGCGGUAAUACGUAGGGUGCAAGCGUUAUCCGGAAUUAUUGGGCGUAAAGAGCUCGUAGGCGGUUUGUCGCGUCUGGUGUGAAAGUCCAUCGCUUAACGGUGGAUCCGCGCCGGGUACGGGCAGGCUAGAGUGCGACAGGGGAGACUGGAAUUCCCGGUGUAACGGUGGAAUGUGUAGAUAUCGGGAAGAACACCAAUGGCGAAGGCAGGUCUCUGGGUCGUCACUGACGCUGAGGAGCGAAAGCGUGGGGAGCGAACAGGAUUAGAUACCCUGGUAGUCCACGCCGUAAACGGUGGAUGCUGGAUGUGGGGCCCAUUCCACGGGUUCCGUGUCGGAGCUAACGCGUUAAGCAUCCCGCCUGGGGAGUACGGCCGCAAGGCUAAAAC